UACAGAGGGUGCGAGCGUUAAUCGGAAUUACUGGGCGUAAAGCGCGCGUAGGCGGCUUUGCAAGUCGGGUGUGAAAUCCCCAGGCUCAACCUGGGAACUGCAUUCGAGACUGCAUUGCUAGAGUAUGGGAGAGGGAAGUGGAAUUUCAGGUGUAGCGGUGAAAUGCGUAGAUAUCUGAAGGAACAUCAGUGGCGAAAGCGACUUCCUGGACCAAUACUGACGCUCAUGUGCGAAAGCGUGGGGGAGCAAACAGGG
rnacentral:rRNA from 1 species